UCGUAUUUUAACGUAUUAUGCAGAGUCUCGGCUCGAGACUGCUUCACAAAGCCGGAGAGGCCAGAUCAAUUCCCGGUCAGACCCACGUGCAGGGGUCUGCCUGCUGCGAGGUAAAGACAGGGGGAGCGCCGCGAGCCGACCCGGUUCCUAAAGAUGUGGAUAAAAUCAGCGAAGACCAGACGGAUAGAAACACCGUAGACGUCAGAGAUAGGUGCUGAAAAGCCGGUGUCAAGUUCGUGCUGCAAGUGGAUACCCAGCCAGGGACGACACGCCUCACCUUCCACCCCGCCCCCCAGCCCGCCGUGGCGCACACGCGCGCAUGCGUGCUUACAUCUUGGGCGCAACACCUGUGGAAGGAAAGGGAGGGAAGCAGAAUGGGCAGGGGAAGAAGUUGAGCUGGCGUGCGCCCUCAGUCAAGGCCUUGGCCGACCCCAGGUGGAGCUCAAGAGCGGAAAUGACCCCGCAGAGUUGUCCUCAGUCUUUCUGGGACUUCUCUGGUGGCACAGUGGUUAAGAAUCCGCCUGCCAACGCAGGGGACAAGGGUUUGAUCCCUGGCCCGGGAAGAUCCCACAUGCCACAGAGCAACUAAGCCCGUGUACCACAACUACUGAGCCUGCACUCUACAGCCCCUGAGCCACAACUACUGAGCCCACGUGCCACAACUACUGGAGCCCA